rnacentral:tRNA from 1 species
AAUCUUAUAGUUUAAUAAAAAUAUAAAAUUGCAAAUUUUAAGAUAGAAUUGCUUAAGAUUU